rnacentral:rRNA from 1 species
AGUCAUAUGCUUGUCUCAAAGAUUAAGCCAUGCAUGUCUCAGUACAAGCCAAAUUAAGGUGAAACCGCGAAAGGCUCAUUAAAUCAGUUAUGGUUCCUUAGAUCGUACCCACAUUUACUUGGAUAACUGUGGUAAUUCUAGAGCUAAUACAUGCCAACAGAACUCCGACCGGAGACGGAAGGAGUGCCUUUAUUAGAUCAAAACCAAUCGGUGGCGCGGCCUUGGCCGUGUCAUCGUACAACAUGGUGAAUCUGAAUAACGUUUGCUGAUCGCACGGUCUCGCACCGGCGACGCAUCUUUCAAAUGUCUGCCUUAUCAACUGUCGAUGGUAGGUUCUGCGCCUACCAUGGUUGUAACGGGUAACGGGGAAUCAGGGUUCGAUUCCGGAGAGGGAGCCUGAGAAACGGCUACCACAUCCAAGGAAGGCAGCAGGCGCGCAAAUUACCCACUCCCGGCACGGGGAGGUAGUGACGAAAAAUAACGAUACGGGACUCAUCCGAGGCCCCGUAAUCGGAAUGAGCACACUUUAAAUCCUUUCACGAGGAUCAAUCGGAGGGCAAGUCAGGUGCCAGCAGCCGCGGUAAUUCCUGCUCCGAUAGCGUA